rnacentral:rRNA from 1 species
UACGGAGGAUCCAAGCGUUAUCCGGAAUCAUUGGGUUUAAAGGGCUCGUAGGCGGUUUAAUAAGUCAGUGGUGAAAGCCCAUCGCUCAACGGUGGAACGGCCAUUGAUACUGUUAAACUUGAAUUAUUAGGAAGUAACUAGAAUAUGUAGUGUAGCGGUGAAAUGCUUAGAUAUGACUUAGAACACCAAUUGCGAAGGCAGCUUGCUAAACAAACAUUGACGCUGAGGCACGAAAGCGUGGGGAUCAAACAGG